CGGGAGGCAGCAGUGGGGAAUAUUGCGCAAUGGGGGAAACCCUGACGCAGCAACGCCGCGUGAAGGAAGAAGGUCUUCGGAUUGUAAACUUCUUUGGUUGGGGACGAUAAUGACGGUACCCAAGGAACAAGCCACGGCUAACUACGUGCCAGCAGCCGCGGUAAUA
rnacentral:rRNA from 1 species